rnacentral:miRNA from 1 species
UCCCUGAGGUUCUCGCUGCCG